rnacentral:rRNA from 1 species
AUUGAACGCUGGCGGCAUGCCUUACACAUGCAAGUCGAACGGCAGCACGGGGCAACCUGGUGGCGAGUGGCGAACGGGUGAGUAAUGCAUCGGAACGUACCCGGAAGUGGGGGAUAACGUAGCGAAAGUUACGCUAAUACCGCAUAUUCUGUGCGCAGGAAAGAGGGGGAUCUUCGGACCUCUUGCUUUCGGAGCGGCCGAUGUCAGAUUAGCUAGUUGGUGAGGUAAAGGCUCACCAAGGCGACGAUCUGUAGCGGGUCUGAGCGGAUGAUCCGCCACACGGGGACUGAGACACGGCCCAGACUCCUACGGGAGGCAGCAGUGGGGAAUUUUGGACAAUGGGCGCAAGCCUGAUCCAGCCAUACCGCGUGAGUGAAGAAGGCCUUCGGGUUGUAAACCGCUUUUGUCAGGGAAGAAAAGACUCCUGUUAAUACCGGGGGUUCAUGACGGUACCUGAAGAAUAAGCACCGGCUAACUACGUGCCAGCAGCCGCCGUAACAC